GACUACAGGCACACACCACCAUGCCUGACUCAUUUUUUAAAGAUUUGUUUUAGAGACAGGUUCAUGCUAUGCUGCAUGGUGGACUCAAUCACCUGGGCUUAAGUGAUCCUGCUGUCUCAGCUUCCUGAGUAGCUGGGAUCACAGGCACGAGCCACCACGCCUGGCUACAGAUACAUUUUUAAAAGUAAAAUCUAUCUGUGCCAAGACUUCAAGAAAUAUAAAGCUUGGGCCCAAGGCUGAAGCUUCCUUUGUGGCUUCAAGCAUUUCACUAAAGCGCUAAUUUCAAUCCUACUCUUCCCGAGAAGCCUAAGGCCUCAAUGUGUUGCUUAAAUAUCAGGAUCUACAAAGACCUUGAACUGUCUUUGUGAGCCCCUGGUCCCACCGCACUCCUUGUAGACAGGAGGCAGACCAUUGCAGUGGGUGAUACCCAGCCUGCAGCAAGGCCAGCGCUCAACCUAUUGCUACCAGGAACACGUACUCUCAGGCCUGCCAGAGGCCACCAGACAGAUGUAAGGCAUCUCCCCCUGAAGUGGCCCCUUUUUUGGAUGGUAAGCAUUUUAAAACAUCAGUUUUACAUUAAAGUAAAUUUGGACGUAUUACUUGCAUGAAAGCAAAAUUCACGUGAAUUUGUCAAGGUAAACUGGAGAUUCUAAAGCUGUGUUGGCAAACUCUGGCCCCAGGGCCACCUGGCCCUUCACCUGUUUUUGUAAAUAAAGUUUUAUUGGAACACAGCCACGCCUAUUGAUUUAUGAAUUGCCUGUGGCCAUUUUUGUGCUACAACAGUGGGUUGGGUAGUUGCAACAGAAACCAUAUGGCCCACAAAGCUGAGAACAUUCACUAUGAGGUGCUAAAGGAAUUUUUGCUACCAGGCUGUGCAGAAAUGUACUUGCUUAGUGCCUGCCUUGAGCUGUGAUGGCCCCAGGCCUCCAAAGUGAGCAUGUGCCUUUCACUACAUCAGUGCACGUGGGUGUACGUAUUAGGGAAGUACUGAGCACAGUGGGCUGCUCAGACCCCAGCCCACCCCCACACUAGCCUUAUCAGCUCAAAGGACCGGUGAGGCUACUUCGGGGAUUCUUUUUAAAGGAUAGAAUGAACUGCUCUUAACCGCUGUAGAACGGCAGAGCAGGAGGAGCAGGUUUCCGGGCAUGCAGAAUAGUCUCUCCCAGCUGUGUUAACUGCUUAUGUUCUGGGAGAAUGCCUGAGCCCCCAAAGCAUCUCUUCUGCUGAGGGCAGACACGCUCCUAGGCCUAUGGAGAACGUGGAAUCCAAGGAUCUUCUGCGCCUUCAGUCGCGGCUAUAACCUUUGACCCCUCCCAGCACGAGAACAUUCUCUGUACAGUAUGUUCUACGACCGUUUUUUUUGAAUGAAUGAUUUCUCUCUAUGCCAGGAUUCAGAUAUUUUUCCUCUUUUCAUUUCUAAUUUAAUCCAGAAAUUGGCCUGGACUUACCAGAGCCUUGCCAGGGUUUGCAAACAAUCCGAAGGCAUAUGGGCUCAAUUUCUCACCAACUUUCACGAGUGCUGAGACCGCAUGGUGGCGGUGGGGAAGGCAGUGGUCGGACAGGAGUGUUUUCAGCUGGUCGUGGUGGAAAUCUCGUAAACUGGCCGCAGAGAUGCAAACCAGCCAGGCGGAAGGCGUCGCCCCAAGUCAUAGUUCACGAGUCGCUGGCUCUGGUUCCUGGGAAAGAGAAGAACAUCUCUGAAACUGGACACGAAACACGGGUCCCUUAAGUGGGGGGAGGCAAGCGGGGUUCAGGGUCUGCUAGUGGUGCUGUGGCCCUGGGGGUGUUGCUGGCACUGUUUCUGUUCCUCACGCUUGUCCCGCUGGCCUUACAGCCUGGCCCUGUGUGCCACCAGGAGACACAGCCAUGAGGGCCAGUGGUGUGUGCGAGGCUGCACGCAAGGCUCAGAAGAGGGCAGUGCCCUCACGUGCUCACAGUAGCCAGGCCCGAGGGGCCCAGGUGGCUGAAGGCUGUUGGGAGUGGUGGGGACUCGGGCGACCGGAGAGGCCACGCCCCCCUGCAGAGCUCCUCGUGGUUCCACUCGCUUGUGUUUCUGUAGGAAUAAGCAGACCACUGCUGCCAGCUCGCUCUUCCAUGAGAAGCUGGAAAUCUACUUUUUUUGGGAAAUCUAAUUAUUUUUCAAUGUGGGCCACAGAUUGAAAUUAAGAAGCCACACUGCACAGGUGAAGCAGAACACGGCUGCAGGACAAGUCUGGUGUGUGGGUGGCCUGAGUGUUCUUUCCAGCCUAGAAGGAAGGAGGCGACUGCCUGUCCUGCUGCGCCCUGUGCUGACCUCCUGAUAGCUGAUGUGGAAGCCUCCCAGCAUCCUGUCCUUGGCCUCCCGCGGGGAACUGAUGGUUGUCAGAAUGGGAGUUAGAGUCCCUGUGGACGAGGAGGGCCAGCCAUCCACACACCCGGAUGACAGCUUGAGGCAGCCUCGGAGCUUGUCUUGUGCAGGCUCCAGCAAGGAGGUGACAGCUGAACCACAAGAACAGAGGCGAUGAUGUGCCACGCCGGGCUGUCGGGCUGACCUGGCGUGGGCUCUCACUCCCUGAGGCCCCUCCCAGGCUGCCCCUGGAGCUGAGUUGCAGUCAAGCAAUCCUGGGUCUUCCUCCCCAGUCCAGGGGUCUCCUUGGUGGUGUGUCUCAGCAGGGUUAGGGACUCCCACAAAGGUGACUUUGUAUCGGACCCAGAGAGGGUCUGCCCACCUGAUUUUUCACUGAGUACCUGGAAAAGGCCUGGCACGUAGUAGGUGCUCAGUAAAUCUCUUUUGAAUGAAUAAGUGACUAAAUGAAUUCCCAUAAAGCGACUGUGAUCUCAGAGACUCCCAUAAAAAUGAACUCUAUCUGUGGGUGUGGAACUCCUCGUGGCUGGGUGUCCUUAUGCCUUCGCUUCUAUGACAGAGGCUGUGUCUCCAUCGUCCAUGCUGACGUCUGAAUGGCCAGGUCCCGGGAUACAGUUUCUAGUUGCAGCAGGUUUGCCAAAUUGCUCCUCAGAGCCUCUGUACUGACUCCCAUGCCCACUUAUGUGAGCCUCUCAAUCUCUCUGUGCCUCGGCUUCCUCACUGGCACAGCGGGGAUAACACUCACUCGCAGGGUGUGGGAAGGGAAAGAUAUCGCACGCGGGGAAGUACUCGGCGUAGGCGGAGAAGAUCAGAGCCGACCAGCGAGGCGAGCAGUUGUUCACUCGGCCCAUGAUGUCUGGGAAGAGCCCCAGCCAGCUCCCGUCCUGGACAAGCUUUUUUCUCAUGGGGGCCACCUGCUUGCCUUGGCACAGCGAGGACAGGGCCUUGGCAGCCAAAGGAGACGGUCAGCUGUCUCCACCUGGUAGUGGAGAUAGUCACAGUGGGGUGAUCCUUGAGCUGGUUUUGGUCACAGAGUUGGUGUCUCCCAAGUGGAAAGUGGGAGGGCAUCAUUCCACACAGAGGAGCCCCUUGUGCAAAAGAGGUGCCAGCCCUCGGCCACCCUGGGAGCCCGCUGGGGUGGGAGAAGGCGCGUGCGGCUGAGCUUGGCCUUGGUCCUGAAGCCUGGGGAAACACGGGAGUACUGAGCACCCAGGUUGCAUCAGCAAGAAUGCAGAACAGUCCCUGCCUAGUGGAGACGGACAGACAGCUAACAAACGAAGGCGACUGGAGAUCACGAUGGUGCCAGGAAGUUACCAGGAUGGGACAGCACCCGAGGCAGCAUAGGGUGCCCCGUGGGAAUGUUCACAGAGUGAGGAAACUUCAGAGCAAGGGAAACUUCCCUGCAGCCAGACAGGAGGAAGGAAACCUGGCUGCAGCCUGCAAGACCUCCCACCCGCGCCUGGCAGGGAGCCUGGCCUGGGGGCUGCCCAUGCUGGCCCUUCUGAUCCUGAGCAGAAGUGAUCACGGACCCUUGUGCUUCCAAUAAUUCGGCCCCUCUUCCUUUGGUUCUGGGUUUCCUGUGUAGCGGUGGGCAGGAUUUCAUCUAUCUUUCCAUCUGCCAGAGUCUGGCAAGGGAGCUAAGCCACAUAAACAGACUCUGGUGGUGCAGGGGGAUUGUGACCUGCUGCACAGAAGGGCAAAGCCGUUUCCCGCCAAGCCCAAGAGGCGCUGGAACAUCUGCUCUGGGUGUUGGAAAGCACCCUGCAUGACUGCGCUUUCAGGGAGGGAUACGCUGGCAGCAGACGACCCUUGCCGUGAGCUUGUAAUGCAGGACCCUUCUUGCAGCCUUCACCUUACUCUUGCCCUGCGCUCUGAGUGCCUUGGGGGCCCCUGCCCAGGUCGAGGGGCACAGUGCAAGGUGAUGGCCUGCAGCCCUCUGUCAUGCCUUCUCAGUCUCUGAGGGGUUCAUACCUGCUCUGCCAGGGCCUCUCCCUUCUUCCUCAUCAUGCAUGGAUGCCUGGGGAGUAGGGAGGCUGGCCUGAGUCCUCCUCAGCUUUGCUCUGAGGUGGUCGGGUCUGACGCCUGGGCCACUUAGGCAUGCUGGACCCCUGCCCAGUCCAAGCCCUAUGCCUUGAUGGGUGUCCACUCUACAGCCUCUGCCAGCCAGUGCCAGCUACCCACGCCCUGGCCCUCGCCAGCAGGAGCUGCUGCAUCCCACACACCCCCUUCUGGAGCGAGGGGCAUCCAUGUGCUGCCUGAGGCCCAUUCAUUAACAUGAGAUCCCUCUCCAUUCUAACCACCUGCUUGGCCACCAUGUGGGUUGGCCUCCACCCUCAGCAGAGGGUCUCAUCUCAGUGGGAAGUGGAGCCCAGAACCCCGGGGACUAUCUGCAUCUCACCCUAAGGCGGGGGCAGCGGUAGGGAUAGGGCUCCGGCUCCAAGCCUGGUGUGGGCUCAGCAGCCCGCCCCCCACCCCGGCAGCUGCUUGCUGCCCCCUCCCCCACACCGUUCCUGUCCCCUGAUGCCACAGCUCUCUCCUCCCAUAGCGGCAUUUUCCUUCCCUCUUUCCUUAGGUCACACUGGUGACAGAGCAGCGGCAGAAUAUGAUGUGUGGGGGAAUAAAAAUGCAUUGUUCUCAAAUUACAUGGUGGUGCUCAAACGGACCCAGGUGACCGAGCUCAGUCACGGGAUGGGCCGGGCCACACAGCCUCUGAGACGGGCGUGUGGGGGGAUGCCAGGGCCGGGGGUGGCACGAGCCCUGGCCACUUAGGGCCCCUCUUUGAAAGGAAACUCCUCACUGAGCCCCCCAGGGCUCUGUGGCCAGGGACAGCCGACAAGCUCAGCAGAGUUCCAGGGAGGCAGGGCCGUCCUGCAGCCACUGCUAGCAAGAAUCAGAAUCCCUGACUUUUCUCGGCCUUUCCCUGUCAGUGGCUCGCAGUGGCCGAGAGGCCCCUGGGGGACACUGGGCUCUGGCCUGAGGCCUCGGCCGUGUCCUUCUGCGUCCUGCAGCCUCAGCAGCACUGGUCCUUCCCCGUUCUGCAGCAUUUCCCUUUCUGAUGAGGCAUCCGGUCAGCGGGUGGGAAGGUCAGUCCCUAAGUGGUGGCAUGGCUGUUGUUUCCCCAAAGGCGACGCAGCCAGCGGGGAGAGCUCCAGGGCUGGGUCACACUCGCGGACGUGCCUGGGCACAGCAGCCCCUCCAGCUCUGGAAAACACAGGGGCAUGUGCAAGCUGUUCACUCAGACCUCUCCCGAUGGUGAUGGCCAGGAGGAGAGCCAGGGUGGGUGUAAGGGCGAAGCCCAGGUGGACCAUUCUGUGCAUGGGGUCCCAGGGAAACAGCUUGGGCUGUUGGACCCUCCUGUAAUUUGAUGACAGUUUCAUUCAGCCUGUACUAGGUGCUGGGGAUUUCACUUUUGUCACGCAUGUCCGUGUGAAGAGACCACCACCAGGCUUUGUGUGAGCAAUAAAGCUUUUGAAUCACC